AGUCAACAUGCCCAGGGGACGUGGAUAACCUCGGGAAACUGAGGAUAAACCGCGAUAGGUCAUCACUUCUGGAAUGGGUAAUGACUUAAACCUAUAUGGCCCCUGGAUUGGACUGCGGCCGAUCAGGCUGUUGGUGAGGUAAUGGCCCACCAAACCUGUAACCGGUACGGGCUCUGAGAGGAGGAGCCCGGAGAUGGGCACUGAGACAAGGGCCCAGGCCCUAUGGGGCGCAGCAGGCGCGAAACCUCUGCAAUAGGCGAAAGCUUGACAGGGUUACUCUGAGUGAUUUCCGUUAAGGAGAUCUUUUGGCACCUCUAAAAAUGGUGCAGAAUAAGGGGUGGGCAAGUCUGGUGUCAGCCGCCCGCGGUAAUACCAGCACCCCGAGUGGUCGGGACGUUUAUUGGGCCUAAAGCAUCCGUAGCCGGUUCUACAAGUCUUCCGUUAAAUCCACCUGCUUAACAGAUGGGCUGCGGAAGAUACUAUAGAGCUAGGAGGCGGGAGAGGCAAGCGGUACUCGAUGGGUAGGGGUAAAAUCCGUUGAUCCAUUGAAGACCACCAGUGGCGAAGGCGGCUUGCCAGAACGCGCUCGACGGUGAGGGAUGAAAGCUGGGGGAGCAAACCGGAUUAGAUACCCGGGUAGUCCCAGCUGUAAACGAUGCAGACUCGGUGAUGAAUUGGCUUAUUGCUAAUUCAGUGCCGCAGGGGAGCCGUUAAGUUUGCCGCCUGGGGAGUACGGUCGCAAGACUGAAACU
rnacentral:rRNA from 1 species